rnacentral:rRNA from 1 species
AUUGAACGCUGGCGGCAGGCUUAACACAUGCAAGUCGAGCGGGGGAAGGUAGCUUGCUACCGGACCUAGCGGCGGACGGGUGAGUAAUGCUUAGGAAUCUGCCUAUUAGUAGGGGACAACAUCUCGAAAGGGAUGCUAAUACCGCAUACGUCCUACGAGAGAAAGCAGGGGAUCUUCGGACCUUGCGCUAAUAGAUGAGCCUAAGUCGGAUUAGCUAGUUGGUGGGGGAAAGGCCUACCAAGGCGACGAGCUGAAGCGGGUCUGAGAGGAUGAUCCGCCACACUGGGACUGAGACACGGCCCAGACUCCUACGGGAGGCAGCAGUGGGGAAUAUUGGACAAUGGGGGGAACCCUGAUCCAGCCAUGCCGCGUGUGUGAAGAAGGCCUUAUGGUUGUAGAGCACUUUAAGCGAGGAGGAGGCUACUUUAGUUAAUACCUAGAGAUAGUGGACGUUACUCGCAGAAUAAGCACCGGCUAACUCUGUGCCAGCAGCCGCCGUAA